rnacentral:ncRNA from 2 species
UCGGGAAGUCGGUGCGCACUGUGCCCUGCGCGGGCGCAGGCAAGUCCGGCGCUGUCCCCGCAACGGUAGGCGAGUGCGGGCGCUGCAUCGCCACUGCAUCCACGGUGUCCCCGGCACCCGGUGCGGGAAGGCGCGGCGCUUGGGGCUGGGGCCCCGCUCGCAAGCCCGGAGACCG